GCUGAUAGAGGCGCGGGACAGAUCAGUAACUCCGGCGCGGCAGUCUGCGGAGAUUGUCGGGGCGAAAGGCUUACCGCCGAAGAAUGUACAUUCCGCAAUGUGCAUAUCUGGCUGUGCGUUAAACAGGCGUACGGUUGUCAUCGGUCUGAUGGAGAGCUAUCGC
rnacentral:ncRNA from 1 species